CCAGGAUGUGUCACUUAAAUAGCUCUCUUCGUCCAAGCAUGGUGUAGGGGGCGGGGUACUUUUAAGUAGACCACCCGGGUAUGCUAAAUAUUAAAUAUAUAUAAUCGAAAUUCCUGUUGUACAUAUAAGCAUUGACAUUUUUUCUUGUUUUACAAUAUUUAUUGAAUAUGAAUAUAUUUAACAUGAACACCUUUAUGUCGAUAUACAUUACGUACGUGUUGAAAUAUAUUCAAAUUAGUCGACCUGAAGGCUGCUUUGUAUUUACCUGCAACAUCCUGCCUACCCCAGCUUGUGAUGCCGCAGUGUGCACACCUGUAAUGAACCCCAUGUCACGUGUCGCAUGUCGGCUCAGCCCGAGCCUGAGUUCUAAAGGGGACGAGUGGGUUGCUACGUCAUUAUAAUGUGACGCUGUUCCGUCACUGUAGCUGCUGCGUCAUUAUAAUGUGACGCAAUUUUGUUUUAUGACGUGUUGGCAUGGAUGGAAGGGAAAAGAGAAAGGAGAGAGGUCAGCAGGGAGCAAGGUUGAGCUGGGAGGAAUCUGUUGGGAGGAUAUUUGAGUGACAUGUAUCUACGUGAAAAUCCUUUUAUGAGACCGGAGCCAUAGCGAGCUGUGAGGAAUCUGUUGGGAGGACAUUGCAGUGACAUCUACCUGUGGGGAUAUUUCAGGGUACAAACGAAGAAGGCUCUUGGUAGAUAAUUCACUCAGCUUUUUGCUGCUUCCCACCCUCUGCAGGCUCCAGUCUACUAUCCACCCCAGCCAGUCAUCGCCGCGCCUGCUAUGCAAUCCACAACAAGCAACAACGUGGUGGUAGUGAACUCCGGACAGCCAGCAGUCCAAACUGUCGUCGUUGAGAGGCGCGGGGUCAACCACGUGCUACACUUCAUCAUCUCGCUCUUCUUCUGGCCCUGGAUCAUCGUCUGGAUCAUCCUUUGUAUUGUUGAAGGAUGCUAGACAUCAUCGUCCAGCCUCAAGACGUGUUGCUGACACCUCACCAGCAGCUCAGAAUCGUUUGUUUAUUGUUGAAGAAUCAUUAUUAAUGUCACCAUGUCGCAAAGUUAAUUACAUAUUUUUUUACAAGUUGUUGAUAACUCAAAACAGCACAUCUAUAUCAUCCCUCCUUUAAUAAUGAUGGUGACAAAUUACAUUUUUACAUGUGUAGAUUAAGAAUCACUUCUGGCAGCACCAUAUAAUUACGACCAAAUUGUAUUCAAGAUACGAUUUUUUGGUGCUUUUGUUUUCUUGCUACCAACAAAGAACUUUGCAGUAAAUAUCAGGCUUCACAAGAGGGCAAUCUAAUUAAGAAAGAAGGUGUUGACAUUGGUAUAGCUUACAUCCUUGCAUUUGUUCCUUUUUCUUAAUUAUUUUCCUCUUUUUGUACCCCACUUUUGUGGAAGGGACAUGAUAAGCUGAUAGUCGGAGAAGAACAUGUACCUCCCAAUGGUCUGUGCAUGAUUACAUAACAAGAGAUUGGUCUCAAUCAAGUCACGUGACAAAUCAUUGUAGGAUGUAUUCUUCAGAAAUACUUAGUGUAUUCCGCUUUCAACGAAGUUGAAAUUUCUCUGUCUUGUUUAUUUAGGUUCUGUGUUCUUGGAACAUAAACCUAGUGACUUCAGCAAACUACAAGAUUUAUUUCGAAAAGUAGCAACUUGAUAACACUGAUUGUCUGCUACAGUCAAGCAGUAAAACAUAAGUAAAACAUACACAAUAUACUAAUUUGACUUCGAAAAGACUUUAGACAUUGAUUUUAAAGUAAAUAAUUUAAAAAAAUCUUCUCCAGUUUUGAACUCGUUCACGUGACAGCGGCAUUGCUCCCUGGGCAGUAAACACCGGUGUGUAGGGGACGGGAGAAGUUCUUUAUUAUGACCUGGGCUUUUGCAAAUUUUUUUUUUCAAAUGAAAGUGUGCCUUUAAAAAUGCAUUAAAUGAGAUGCAAUAUGGAGAAAA
rnacentral:misc_RNA from 1 species